AAUUAUUUGGUCAGUGCUGACACGGGGGUUAGCAGGAGGUGUUUUAGAAUAAGUCUAUUGCACAUCCAUUAUUGCACAUCCAUUAAGUUAGGUAAGCAUGAGCUGUCAAAAAUUUUAAAGCAAUAAGCAACCAAUAAGCAAAUUUGUUGGAUGAGAUGAGAGCCAAUAAUUUAUACUCAGCUCACUCUAAUUACUCUCCAUCAAUUUCAAGUUUUAACAUCUUCUCUUUCAAAUUGCCGAAACCAAACAUUUCGAUAUAUUUGCCCAAAUUUCGUGGUCUUGGCUGGAACCAUCAAAGUGAUCGAGAUGAUGGAUCUAUAAAUUUUGAAUUGGUAAUAACCGAAGGCUACAAGGAGGUGAUACAGCUGCCGUUAUAAGCUGAAACAUAAUUAAAUUUGAGUGACUAUAAGGUAAGCCGUGUGUUUUACUUUGUUCAUAACAAGUUAAUUAGCCUAUGUUUGAAUUGAAUUGUUGAUUGAGCUAUGAUAACUAUGAAUUAGCAAAGGAGACUAGCUGUUGUUGUGCGGAGUAAUAAGGGAGAAAAAUAUGGCUUGAGGAAUAUAUGAACCUCUAUUAACUGUUUCAAAAAUGGGUGCACGUGUGGUGUUUGACAAUAGUCCUCUUAGAACUGUUUUAUUUAAAAAGAGGGAAUUGGGUAAAGCUAUUAUUAACAAAGGCUUUAUAUAUGUAAAUUGAAGUAGUUUAAAUAGAUUGGGAAAAUUAAGCUAAGUUUAAAAACUGUUUUGUGAAAGAUGAAACAAAUGAAGUUUGGGUGAAAAUUAGUAUGAAAGGCUGAUUUGGGCUAACUGUUUCGGCUAGUUAGACUUGCUAGAAAAUCGUGGAUUUUUUGGGGUCUUGUGGUGUGCAAUCCCAGCUAUCCAUAGCCUCUGGAAUGGACUCGUUCCGAGUUCGGACGGUCGAGUUAUGACAUGCCAAAGUGGGUGCGUCGAAUCUGUCCAAAAUUUGGAAGUCAGAUUCGAACCUGUCCCUUGUGCGAAUUUUCUGGAAUUAUGGGUGCAGAAUUUGGAAAAUGUUAUUGAAUAAGAGUUGUAGCCCCGGAAGUUAGCUUCGCGUGGGCGCUAGAAUCACUCAAAAAUGUUUUAAAACGAAUUAGUUAUGACUGUUUUAGCGAGAGAGGAUAAAAUUGGGGGAAAAAAAAUAAAAACAGUUGCGACCAAACAUUUUUGGGGUCUGUUUUGGACUGCCUAUGAUGUCCAAAAUAGGUGGAUUAUAUUUUCUAAAUAUAGCCUACUAUGGUGUCUACAAUAUAUCUAAAAUUGGUUGUAAUCGAAGUUAUGAGCUAAAAGAUAUGAAAUUGUAAAGAAGCCAUGUUGCGUAAGGCAGCAGUAGCAGUACUCGGCGGAGGCUAGGGGCUCUUUUGAGUUCUCAGUCAACGCUUUUAUAUUACUUGAAUUGUUGAGCAGGUAUUUUUCUAAAAAUAGGCGAGUGUAUCACCUAUAUAAUACCCAAGAUUCAGCGCAAUUGAACGAAUAAGUUAGGAUAUAAAAAUCCACGAAAAGGGUGUCGAGGAGGAAGGGGGUUGUUACUAAUGGCAGCAACAGUCAGUAGCACGAAGCGACAAACAGUUUGACAUGCAUUUUUUUGUAGCUUGUUUGUGUACCCGUGAAGUUAGUUUAUAAGUUAGUAAAAGUAGACGGGUAUAUAAUCUACAACAUAACCAAAGCUUAAUAGAAUUUGAAUUAACGAGUUGAGAAUGGAAAAAUAACAAAGUGAGUGUCGCAAGCUCGGGAAGGCUGUUUAGCCAAGCAAGGCCACGCCAUGGGGCUGUUAUUGUUUUAUGGGGUUGUUUAGUAUUGCUUGGAAACAUAAUGGGUUUUAACAAAACAGUUUACAGAAAUGGGUAUAUUAAGCAAUUUAAAAGCUAUAAUUUGUCCGUAUAUUAUAUAAUCAUGAACAAUACAUAAGAUAUGUUAUGUAUUCACCUUAAAUACUUAAGGGAGGUACAAGAGAUAUGGAAUACCCAUAUAUUAAGCUACGAGUGGAUUAUAAAACUAAAAUUGUGAGAUAUUCAUGAAGUAAUAUCAUGUCGAAAUCUAUUAAAGCGAUAAAUGAUUACCGUGAGUAAAAGAAUAAUUGUUUUUGAAAAGAGGCGGUCAAUGUGAAUAUUUAAAAUAUAACUGUACAAGUUAUAUAACAUGGUUGUGUGGCUAAUACGUUCAUAUAUAGUAAAAAUACAAAUAUUUGCAAAACGAAGAAUAAAACAAAUGUGUUAGCGGGAUAAAAUAUUUAUAUAUGAGACAAUGAUUCGAGUUGACUCAUGAACAAACAAAAUAAUAAUAUAAAAAUUAUUUAUAUUAAAGGAAUAAUAUAGUAAAUUGAAUUUUACUAUAAAAGCUAUUUAUUAGAUGUUUAAGUCCCGAAUUAAUGAGUAAAUGCAUAUGAUAUUCCUAAAAUGGAAUAUAAAUGAUUGAAGCUUCAAAGUGUAAAAUAUUUACAUACUAAAAUGUGAGGGACCUUUAUUUGGUUUAAAAGGUUAAACCGAAUUAAGUUUCUAAAUAAACUAAUAUUCGUUUUGAGUAAGAAUAAAUAAUAUUAGUUUGUAUAAAACUAAUAAUUAUUAUUGAUGAAUAUACAUGCAUGUUUUGUAAUAUAUUCAAUUAUCUAAUAUAUGUGUGCAUGUAAAUAUAAUUCUGUAGGAAUUGUGGAGAAACUCAAAUUUUGUGAUAAUCUCCAAUUAAGGCAAGUUUUUCAGUUCUAUUAUGUUUGUGGAUUAAAUGUGAUUAUGUGGUGAGCUUCAUACCAUGCUUUAUGAAUUGUUCAAAAAUGACUAAGUUAAUUGGGUUAUGGAACUUAAUUUAUAUGUGAUAUGUGAUAGCACAUGUUGUAUGAAGUAACUCGAUAAAUUAAAAAUGUAUAAUGCAUGAAUGUAUGUUUUGUAAGGAAUUAUUGUUGCAUGUAGGAUAUGCAUAGUAAAGAAUAUAUGUUGCAUGCAGUUAUGCAUAAUAAAGGAAAUAUAGUGCAUAUGGAAUUGUGUGCUAUGUGAAACAUUAUAGACUGUUAAAUUUGCUGGGAUGUCGAGCUCAAUCUUACAAACACAAACUUUUGCAGGUUAAUGAUGUUAAGCAAUAUUACUUGCUAUACGGAUGAUGAAGAUUGAACUAUGUGCAAAAUGUAUAUAUUUCCUUGAAUUAGAAAUGGUAUAAAUUUAUGAUUGAUAGUUUUUUUUUUAUCAAAUUUGGAACUUUUGGUGUCGGAGUUACUAUUCACGUAUACGGCACUAUUCACGUAUACGGUUCUAUUCACGAAUACGGCACUAUUCAUCGAAAAAUGAAUUUUUUUUUUUCGUCCAAAAUAUCUAUUCUGGAUACUAGCUUUGAUUGUAUCCAUGUUUCGAUCAUUCUUGAAUUUUACACCACUAUGAUUAUUUUUGAGGUAUUUUUGGACGUGGAUAAAACAAAGUACGAAUCCUUAAUCCUUAAUCCUUGUCAUUUUGUUUCACUGGAUUCGUUUCUUUAAAAAANNNNNNNNNNNNNNNNNNNNNNNNNNNNNNNNNNNNNNNNNNNNNNNNNNNNNNNNNNNNNNNNNNNNNNNNNNNNNNNNNNNNNNNNNNNNNNNNNNNNAUUUAAAACUUGUUGUCUAUUGUAUUCUAUUAGAUUUUUCCUUGUUGAAGACUAAUGAUAAUUUGUUCUGUAUUAUCUUUGUCAUAAUAUUCUUUACUGGGCUAGUUGAGCUCAUCCUUUUCUUUUUUGUUCCAUUUUUCUUCUCAGGAGGCGAGAAUGUAGCGAGUACGAGUCGGGGUAUGGAAUGAUGGUUUUAGAGAGUUGUUUAGUAGUCCUCACCAUUUUUAUAAAAUAAUGUAUCAAUAAUUAUGAUGAGGAUUUAUUUGUAUGUGGAUAUUGUCUAGAUGACAAUAUCUGUAUUUAAACUCACAGUUUAUAUGUUGUAAUAAUAAAGUUGUAGUUAUUUUUGUACCUUGAUUUUGACAACUCAGAAUGGGUGAUGUAUACCUGUUUUGGGGGUGUCACAAAUUACUGUUCAGUAUUUUAAUUUAUUGAUUUAAUAAUUGUUGUGUUGAUAUUUUGUAUUACUGUUGUUUUCAUAAUUGUCACUGCACAAUAUUUUUUAUUAUCGGAGCAAUAAUUCAUAUUAUCUGAAUAAUAUUAUUAGAUAACAUUAUUGGCAAUGUCUAGAAAGUUCUGUCUAAAGAGAG
rnacentral:lncRNA from 1 species